AUUGAACGCUGGCGGCAGGCCUAACACAUGCAAGUCGAGCGAGCGGCGGACGGGUGAGUAAUGUAUGGGGACUGCCCGAUAGAGGGGGAUAACUACUGGAAACGGUGGCUAAUACCGCAUACUAUCGGAUAACCCAUAUGGGAUUAGCUAGUAGGUGGGGUAAAGGCUCACCUAGGCGACGAUCUCUAGCUGGUCUGAGGGGAUGAUCAGCCACACUGGGAUUGAGACACGGCCCAGACUCCGACGGAGGCGGAAGUGGGAAAUAGUGCACAAUGGGGGCAAGCCUGAUGCAGCCAGGCCGCGGGUAUGAGAAGGGCCUUAGGGUGGUAAGGUACUUUCAGCGGGGAGGCGUUACCCGCAGAGGAAGCACCGGCUAACUCCGUGCCAGCAGCCGCGGUAAUUC
rnacentral:rRNA from 1 species